GGGAAAAGCCUCAAGUCUGCAUAGAAAGCGCAUUUAAUCCUUUUUUAACUGGGUGAGGUUGCCUCUUGGGACCCCCAGUUGAUAGAUGAGAAGCACCUGACUUUGAAAAGGAACCGAACUCAAGCAGGCUGCAUCCUAAGCCCGGUAAGCCUUUCUGAGAGGCUGUUUCACUUCUUUGAAUCACAUCGGUUCCUGGGAGGGUGCUGGAAAUGUGCUUUGAAGCUGGGCCUGUGGGAGUGAAGGAGAGAGCAGAGCUUCCACCUGACACCCCCAACCCCACCCACACCUCCCACCUUGCACCCCACAUCCCACACUUCCUACCCCCACCCCACAAUCUUCACCCCAACCCCACCCUCUACUCCCACCCCACCGUACAGUCUCCAGCCCAAUAUCCCACACCUUCCACCUUUACCCUCACCCACCACCUCCCACUUCUCACCCCUCACCCAGUUCCCACCCUAUACCUUCCUCGCCCUCCACCCCAAACCCCAUACCCCAACCCCUCACCUGUACCCCAACCUCCACCUCCCAUCCCCCGCUCCCA
rnacentral:lncRNA from 1 species